AAGUCAGAGGUGAAAUCCCAGGGCUUAACCCUGGAACUGCCUUUGAACCUGUUGAACUUGAGUUCGAGAGAGGUGAGUGGAAUUCCCAGUGUAGCGGUGAAAUUCGUAGAUAUUAGGAAGAACACCAGUGGCGAAGGCGGCUUUCUGGAUCAUUACUGACACUGAUGUGCGAAAGCGUGGGGAGCAAACAGGAUUAGAUACCCUGGUAGUCCACGCCGUAAACGAUGAGUGCUAGAUGUUGGAAAUUUACUUUCCGUGGCGCAGCUAACGCCUUAAGCGAUCCCCCUGGGGAGUACGGCCGCAAGAUUAAAACUCAAAGGAAUU
rnacentral:rRNA from 1 species